rnacentral:rRNA from 1 species
AUGUAAAAUGACUCUCGACAACGGAUAUCUCGGCUCUUGCAUCGAUGAAGAAUGUAGCGAAAUGCGAUACUUGGUGUGAAUUGCAGAAUUCCGUGAACCAUCGAGUCUUUGAACGCAUGUUGCGCCCAAAGCCAUUAGGCUGAGGGCACGCCUGCCUGGGUGUCACAC